rnacentral:rRNA from 1 species
AGCAGCCGCGGUAAUUCCAGCUCCAAUAGCGUAUAUUAAAGUUGUUGCAGUUAAAAAGCCCGUAGUUGAAUUUCGGGGUUAGUAGGUUGGUCAUGCCUCUGGUAUGUACUGGUCUCACUGAUUCCUCCUUCCUGAUGAGCCGUAAUGCCAUUAAUUUGGUGUUGCGGGGAAUUUGGACUGUUACUUUGAAAAAAUUAGAGUGUUUAAAGCAAGCUAACGCUUGAAUACAUUAGCAUGGAAUAAUGAAAUAGGACGUUCGAUCCUAUUUUGUUGGUUUCUAGGAUUGACGUAAUGAUUAAUAGGGAUAGUUGGGGGCAUUAGUAUUCAAUUGUCAGAGGUGAAAUUCUUGGAUUUAUUGAAGACUAACUACUGCGAAAGCGUUUGCCAAGGAUGUUUUCAUUAAUCAAGAACGAAAGUUAGGGGAUCGAAGACGAUCAGAUCCCGUCGAGCUUAACAUAACUAUGCCACUAGGAUCGAUGAUGUAAUUUUUAUGACUCA